UCCGUCGACCGAUUCAUCACGGAUACAAGUUCGAAGGCCUCGGCGCCGUCGAUUGCUAUCUCGAUUCCGGGACGCAGCCAAAUGCAAAUCCUGGAUCUGGACCACUGGAUCCGUUCCAUUUCGUUGCACAUUGGGCGCGCUUCGCCACCAGCAGCCACAGUGUUCCUCCGGUUGUUGUCACUAGCGCUGAAUGAAAGCCUAAUUCCGGGCGCAGAGGAAGUGGGGGCGAGAAAAGGACAUGACAUUGGUUGGCGCAAUAGCUCGACACGAUGGACCUUGGAUGGGAUUACCCGUCCAUUUCUCUUUAUCUCUUCCGCGGUGACGCUGUAAAUGUAUUUCCUUUUUACCUUCCGUUUUUCACCCGGAUCCGGAGGAACACAACACACACUCAUGGCCAUGGCCAGAGCCAGGGACAGCCGGGCAUGGGCGGCACUGCAACACUUGGUCGUUUUCGUGUACGUGUCACUGAGUCAGAUUCCUUGGGACGAACAGAGCCGCCCCCAUGAGGCAGGCCCCAAACGGGUCCGGAUCAGGUCAAAUUCUCCCAUCCCCAAGAAACUCAAAAGCAGAGCAGCUGGAAUGGCAAAGAAGAUCUUUGGAAGCGAUGCAAUGGGUCUUGGUUUUGGUUGGCAUGAUAGAGGAGGAGAAUAUACUACGAAAACGGCAUCAUCAUCCUCGAGGUAUUAGCGUUUUGGCAUGGUCUAACGACUGCUAGGUUCCUCCAUAACUGUUAGUUGGUACACGCUUUUAUCGCAGCCCUUGGCCGUCCAAUCGGAGAACUAGAAAUGGUGGAUUGGAAUCCUGAGUUCGAUUUUUUUUUUCUAGCGCCAGCAUUUCUCCAAGAAAAACAAUGUCUGGGUCUUGUUAUGUACCCGAAGAUUCAUUCACUGAA